GCAAUAUUAAUUAACAAGAAUUAGCAUAAAUUAAAGAGGAUAAAUAAAGGAUUAAUGACAAACACCUUGGAUUAGUGGGCCAGAGGUGAGGUGGAAAAAUGGAUGGGGAUAUACUGAAGCCAUGGCAAGGAGGGUUUGGGUCAUGCAGUUGUUGGGGCGAAGCCCAAUUUCCAAAACGGAUCAAAGGGAAAAGGGCCAUAGCCGAAUGGAAUUCGGAUCCCACAUGAAUACUCUUUCCACGACCUAAUCCUCAAUCAUAAUGCCGGAAAUGCCUCAUCUCGUCUUCAACUACUGAAAUUCAUCUCUGACUAUCACGCUAAAUGGUACGAACGCAACGCGAAGCUCCAACCCAAUGUUUCAAUUUGUAUCGCCGUCAGCGCUUUGCUUCCGUUUCAUGGCUAUGUGGUUGUCCGAUCGCGCUUCGUUAUUGUCGAAUUGAGAUGAAGACCGAGCAAUUGAUUUGUGAUGAAGGGUGUUAUGUCCGCGUCGUGAUGAAGAGUGAAGACGGAAGUGCAAACUGAACCGUUGUGUUGUCGAUGAAGAAGAGUCAGCGAUGAUUGUUGAAUCCAGAUGAAGAAGAUGAUGACGAUAUCUCCUUCGGAAGAGAUGCGAACAGGAUGAUGAGAUUUUAUUAGAAAUUGGAGUAGGGUUAUUGGGUUGCCAACGUUUGUUGAAUCUUGUUAUGGGGAUUGGAGAGUGGAUUUAUGGCUGAAGGUGGAAUUGGUUUAUCGAAAAUCGGUUUUCUCUCUUGGAAGCUGUUAGUCAGUAACAGUUAUGUGUUUAAAGGUUAGGAGGGAAUUGUUGGAGGUUGAGGGGAUUACAAUGGAGAGAUUCGGUUGGUUGCAGGUUUGAUACUGGCGGUUGUUAGAAGUGAGGGUGAUGAGUUGUGUUGUGAUUUGGUUUUUUGAAGGAGAUUCAUGAGGGAGUUUUUUUUAGAGCACGGUUAUGUAAUGUGAUUGAAGUUAAAAAUCGUUGCUGAAGGGAAGGUUGUAAUUGGAGUUAGUUAUUAAGAAUGGGUUGUUGAGAAUUGGUUGUUGUGGUUGUUGAUUCGGUUGAAAGUUUGUUAGGAAUUCUGUUACGAGAGGUAUUAGUUUUCAGUUGGAAAAAACCGAAUUCUGUUAUGAAGUUGGUUGAAGUGGUUGAAGUUCGUUUGGGGAGGUCUUUGGAGUAAUGUCGGUUUUGGUAUGAAAAAGGUUUAUUGAAAGUUCUGCUAUAUGAGAGUUGUUAUGUGAUGAUGGAGAGGUGAAAAAUAUUUUCUUUGGAAGCAGGUUGGAAAGUUGCAAAGUUGGCCCUUUGUUCUGUUUCUGUUAUCGGAUUUCAAGUUCUAUUGGAGCCUUUUUCAGGAGGUUAGAAAUUCUGUUAUAGUAUGUUAGAAAAUUUUGUUAUGAAUUAUUUAACUGGAAGUUAGUUGGUUUGGAUUUUCGAUAUCUAUUAUGAUUGUGAAAUUCAGUUU